AUUGAACGCUGGCGGCAGGCUUAACACAUGCAAGUCGAGCGAGCGGCGGACGGGUGAGUAAUGUCUGGGAAACUGCCUGAUGGAGGGGGAUAACUACUGGAAACGGUAGCUAAUACCGCAUACCAUCAGAUGUGCCCAGAUGGGAUUAGCUAGUAGGUGGGGUACUGGCGCACCUAGGCGACGAUCCCUAGCUGGUCUGAGAGGAUGACCUGCCACACUGGAACUGAGAGACGGGCCAGACUCCUACGGGAGGCAGCAGUGGGGAAUAUUGCACAAUGGGCGAAAGCCUGAUGAAGCCAUGCCGCGUGUGGGAAGAGGGCCUUCGGGUUGUAAAGCACUGUCAGCGAGGAGGCGUUACUCGCAGAAGAAGCACCGGCUAACUCCGUGCCAGCAGCCGCGGUAAUUC
rnacentral:rRNA from 1 species